GAUGAACGCUGGCGGCGUGCUUAACACAUGCAAGUCGAGCGAAGCACUUAAGUUUGAUUCUUCGGAUGAAGACUUUUGUGACUGAGCGGCGGACGGGUGAGUAACGCGUGGGUAACCUGCCUCAUACAGGGGGAUAACAGUUAGAAAUGACUGCUAAUACCGCAUAAGACCACAGUACCGCAUGGUACAGUGGUAAAAACUCCGGUGGUAUGAGAUGGACCCGCGUCUGAUUAGGUAGCUGGUGGGGUAACGGCCUACCAAGCCGACGAUCAGUAGCCGACCUGAGAGGGUGACCGGCACCCUUGGGACUGAGACACGGCCCAGACUCCUACGGGAGGCAGCAGUGGGGAAUAUUGCACAUGGAGGAAACUCUGAUGCAGCGACGCCGCGUGAAGGAUGAAGUAUUUCGGUAUGUAAACUUCUAUCAGCGGGGAAGAAAAUGACGGUACCUGACUAAGAAGCCCCGGCUAACUACGUGCCAGCAGCCGCGGUAA
rnacentral:rRNA from 1 species